AUACUGGUGCCUCACAUGCAGCUUAACCGAAAAGGGUAUUUCCUCCCUUCAGAGAAAGCUCCCUAGUCUGGCGCGGGGUGCUUUUUACUUUACGUUGUUGCAAGUAGAAGUUCCUUCAGUCUCCUCCCCUGGGAGCCACAGCGCUAAGGGGAAACUUCGACCCUGGAAGGAACGAGAAUAAAUAUCUAAAUACCGACGCAGGGAUCCGCUGCUGGGGCAGACAUCUGAACUUCGGGAUCCGGAGGCGAUCCAGGAGGCAAGAGGUAGGCCAUUUUUAAUUGAAGGAAGCUGCCUCUGCGUGGGAGUGGCAGGAGGAGUAAGAAAACCACAUGGAAGACUCCCAGGAUUUAAAUGAACAAUCAGUAAG
rnacentral:lncRNA from 1 species